GGGACAAUGACAGCGCGGCAGGAGUCCAGAAAAGAAAUGUCGUUUGAUUGACUUCUGCCUUGGAUGGUGUGGCUGUCUUACGAUUGAUUCCCCGUUUCUGGGCACCACGCUGCCUGCUGACUGAACCCGGGGAGGUGGGCGGCAUCUGGUCCGGGCCCUGACCCCGUGAGCCCACGGAUACAAGCCCGCGUCACACUCCGGGACAGCCUCCCUUCACUGCCAUGCCGGUUAGACUGCAGGCCUACAGAGGGUCACUUUUUACUAAUUUUAAAUAGGAUCAUUCUUUAUUUUUAAAUGAAGAACGUAUUUAUGUUUUAGCCUUGUGCAAGGGAAAGUGUGUCAAUGACAGGCAAAUUCAAAAUUUCCAUAAAAGUACCAUUCAGUUUACUGACUUCCUUGUAAACGCAAGAACAUGUGUCCAGUUGUGAAACAGGACACAUCAAGGGGCAUUAAGUUACUCUGGAUAAAGUCCAAUCCAAUUUCCCGGUAAAUGAUUUGCAGGAGGGGCGGGGCUGCUGCCCAGGCAGAGACUUGGGAUCUCAGUCCACACGAACUGUCCCCUUCUGCGGGUUUUCAGGGUCGAGAGGCAGGGAAGAACGAGAAAGCAGAAUCAGCAUUGUAAAAGAAGCUAUAGACAAAAGGAAAAAACGCCUUUUACGGAAGAGAAAAGUUGCAGGAAUAUUCUUUUCUACCCGAAAAUGAAAUCGGUGUUGAGUUUAUUACCGUUUGGGCUUCCUCUCCAACCAGAACUGGAUCGCAGACACCAUGUGACCCUGCGACGAGGCCAGGGGCUCCGGAAUUGCGGCGGGACAAACUUCGGGUGGGAUCACCGAGGCCGCAGUCCCCGCAGCGAGAGGCAGAUCCGCCCUGGAGAAAACCAGGGGCAGCACGUGACUUCAGCAACUCUUGCAGGGGGAGGGGUUAAUAGACGUGUCUCCAUCCACCUGCCGUCUGCCAUUGUCUGUUCUCACCUGAAUUUCCUCAGGACGAGGAAGGAGAAAAUCGUCAGGUACUCUUAAGGCCCCACCUAAUACUUGCCCUGGGAUCACACAGGCCUUUCUCAGCCCAGGGCACUUCUGCCCCUCAAGGAAACUAACUGGGAGGCGAGACUGAGGCCUGGAGGCCCAGACGACUGAGCUUAUCCCCACCCCCCUGCUGGGGGUAUCAGCACAGGCAGCAGGUGCUGGGGCCAGAACCGCUGUGCACCAGAUCCUGUGCACGACGUCCACACACACAGCACGACCGGGGGCUGACACCUCGCUGUCAGCGGACUGUGGCUGGCUGGUGUCCAGCCACGGGCGCAGGUCUGGUGGGGCUCAGAACUGCCCCCCGGUGCCUUGUAAUUCGGUCAAGCGUCAGCAAGCAGUGCACACGUGUCCCCCGCAUGCAGGGAGCGCUGGGCAGGAAUGAGGAGUCGCGGUUCGGUGCUGUUCCCCGGCACCCUUGGCCCCUGUGGGACCUUAGGGGGUGAAGAAGCCAGGGCGCGUGCUCUGCUGCGGGUUCUCGUAAUGCUGUGUGUGGUCUGCCUGGACCCCCUGCAAAGUUCAAGGGUGCCCAGGCCGGGACCUGAGUGUGUCUUAUCUUGGCAUCUUUGGUGUGAGCUGUUGCCACCAGAGGCGUUUGUUUGUUGUUUGUUUUCUGUUUUAAGUAAUCUUUUGUUCUCUAAAUUUAAAGCCGAGUUAGUUAACAUAUAACGUAGCAAUCAUUCCAGGAACAGAAUUCGGCAUCCCUCACUUGCACACAGCACCCAGUGCUCAUCCCAGCAAGCGCCCUCCUGAUUGCCCGUCACCCCUUUA
ensembl:lncRNA